AUUGAACGCUAGCGGGAUGCCUUACACAUGCAAGUCGAACGGCAGCACGGACUUCGGUCUGGUGGCGAGUGGCGAACGGGUGAGUAAUGUAUCGGAACGUGCCCAGUAGCGGGGGAUAACUACUCGAAAGAGUAGCUAAUACCGCAUACGCCCUACGGGGGAAAGGGGGGGAUCGCAAGACCUCUCACUAUUGGAGCGGCCGAUAUCGGAUUAGCUAGUUGGUGGGGUAAAGGCCUACCAAGGCGACGAUCCGUAGCUGGUUUGAGAGGACGACCAGCCACACUGGGACUGAGACACGGCCCAGACUCCUACGGGAGGCAGCAGUGGGGAAUUUUGGACAAUGGGGGCAACCCUGAUCCAGCCAUCCCGCGUGUGCGAUGAAGGCCUUCGGGUUGUAAAGCACUUUUGGCAGGAAAGAAAUCGCAUGGGUUAAUACCCUGUGUGGAUGACGGUACCUGCAGAAUAAGCACCGGCUAACUACGUGCCAGCAGCCGCGGUAA
rnacentral:rRNA from 1 species